AUUGAACGCUGGCGGCAGGCCUAACACAUGCAAGUCGAGCGAGCGGCGGACGGGUGAGUAAUGUAUCGGGAUCUGCCCGGUAGAGGGGGAUCACUACUGGAAACGGUUGCUAAUACCGCAUACUUUCGCAUGGACCCAUAUGGGAUUAGCUAGUGGGUGGGGUAAAGGCACACCAAGGCCACGAUCUCUAGCUGGUCUGAGAGGAUGAUCAGCCACACUGGAACUGAGACACGGCCCAGACUCCUACGGGAGGCAGCAGUGGGGAAUAUUGGACAAUGGGCGCAAGCCUGAUGCAGCCAUGCCGCGUGUAUGAAGAAGGCCUUAGGGUUGUAAAGUACUUUAAGCGGGGAGGCGUUACCCGCAGAAGAAGCACCGGCUAACUCCGUGCCAGCAGCCGCGGUAAUAC
rnacentral:rRNA from 1 species